AUGAACGCUAGCGACAGGCUUAACACAUGCAAGUCAGGGGUAACAGGGUAGCAAUACCGCUGACGACCGGCGCACGGGUGAGUAACGCGUAUGCAACCUGCCUAUAACUGUGGAAUAGCUCCCUGAAAGGGGAAUUAACACCGCAUAACACUAUUGAUUCGCAUGGAUUGGUAGUUAAAUGUAGCGAUACAGGUUAUAGAUGGGCAUGCGUGACAUUAGCUAGUUGGUGAGGUAACGGCUCACCAAGGCUACGAUGUCUAGGGGUUCUGAGAGGAAGGUCCCCCACACUGGUACUGAGACACGGACCAGACUCCUACGGGAGGCAGCAGUGAGGAAUAUUGGUCAAUGGGCGCAAGCCUGAACCAGCCAUGUCGCGUGCAGGAAGACUGCCCUAUGGGUUGUAAACUGCUUUUAUAGUAGAAGAAACACAUCUACGUGUAGAUGUCUGCCAGUAUACUAUGAAUAAGCAUCGGCUAACUCCGUGCCAGCAGCCGC
rnacentral:rRNA from 1 species